CUCAUGUAUACUGAUAGUGCUACAGUAGUAUUAUAAUUAUAAGGCAUCUCAUGUUAUACUGCCAUAGCGCUUUUUGUAGAAGUUUUAUCCGCUUCUGCAGGUCAUCUAUAACAUGCUCAUCUAUAAUAUGAUGGGAGAUGCAAAAAGCUUUUAUUCAAUUAUUUAAGAACAAUUUAACCAUAAAAAAAUGUAAAAUACACGUUGGAACGAACAUACACACAGCAUACAAUUGAACAUUCAUAAUCAAUAUCUAGUUAGCACACAAGAUUUGAGGAUACCUUCUGAGAAGAAGGCUGAAGGAAUUGAGGAAAAAGCGAAGAUGAUAAUGGAGGUAGACGGUCCAAGGAAUCGUGAAACCUAGAGGCACAAAACAUAAAUACAUAUUCAUAAUUAGUAUUAAGUAUCAUAGUUGAAAAUCUUCUCAAAACUUGAAAGGACUGUCCAGGGAACAUUGAUACUGUUAAUAAUGAGGACAAAAUCAUAUGUGAAUUUCCCAGAAAAGAAACAUGCAAAACCCAACUACAAAUAUAUCAACAAAAGCCACUUGAAUCCUUAUAUUCUUUGAUGAUUUCCAAUUGAUUAUACUUCUGACUUUUCAUCAACAGCUCUGCUCUUAAGUCUGCGGGGAC
rnacentral:lncRNA from 1 species